AGUUUUCUCAACCCGUACAGAGAUUUUAUCAGAUACCAACCCAUUAGGACUGAUCAGACUUCCAAGAUAAGUGAAGUU
rfam:Schistosoma haematobium scaffold1439_1, whole genome shotgun sequence.